GAGGAAUUUUCCGCAAUGGGCGCAAGCCUGACGGAGCGACGCCGCGUGAGGGAUGAAGUAUUUCGGUAUGUAAACCUCUUUUGCGAGGGAAAAAGGUGUUCGUGCUCAUACCACGGGCAUUUGAUGGUACUUCGCGAAUAAGCCCCGGCUAACUACGUGCCAGCAGCCGCGGUAAUACGUAGGGGGCAAGCGUUGUCCGGAUUUACUGGGCGUAAAGGGCGUGUAGGCGGUUGGAUAAGUCUGACGUGAAAUUCUAGGGCUCAACCCUGGAGCUGCGUCGGAAACUGUCUGACUGGAGUUCGGUAGGGGUCACUGGAAUCCCCGGUGUAACGGUGAAAUGUGUAGAUAUCGGGGGGAACACCUGUGGCGAAGGCGGGUGACUGGGCCGCAACUGACGCUGAUACGCGAAAGCGUGGGGAGCAAAC
rnacentral:rRNA from 1 species